rnacentral:rRNA from 1 species
AGAGUUUGAUCCUGGCUCAGGAUGAACGCUGGCGGCGUGCCUAAUACAUGCAAGUCGAGCGAACAGAUGAGAAGCUUGCUUCUCUGAUGUUAGCGGCGGACGGGUGAGUAACACGUGGGUAACCUACCUAUAAGACUGGGAUAACUCCGGGAAACCGGGGCUAAUACCGGAUAAUAUUUUGAACCGCAUGGUUCAAUAGUGAAAGACGGUUUCGGCUGUCACUUAUAGAUGGACCCGCGCCGUAUUAGCUAGUUGGUAAGGUAACGGCUUACCAAGGCGACGAUACGUAGCCGACCUGAGAGGGUGAUCGGCCACACUGGAACUGAGACACGGUCCAGACUCCUACGGGAGGCAGCAGUAGGGAAUCUUCCGCAAUGGGCGAAAGCCUGACGGAGCAACGCCGCGUGGGUGAUGAAGGUCUUCGGAUCGUAAAACUCUGUUGUUAGGGAAGAACAAAUUUGUUAAUAACUGAACAAGUCUUGACGGUACCUAACCAGAAAGCCACGGCUAACCACGUGCCAGCAGCCGCGGUAAUACGUAGGUGGCAAGCGUUAUCCGGAAUUAUUGGGCGUAAAGCGCGCGUAGGCGGUUUCUUAAGUCUGAUGUGAAAGCCCACGG